rnacentral:lncRNA from 1 species
ACUCUUUAGCUCGCCAUGCAGACAUCCUUGCUGCUGUGGAAACGCGGCUGUCACUGUUAAACAUGACCUUCAUGAAGUAUGUGGACUCCAACCUCUGUUGCUUCAUCCCAGGAAAGGUAACCGGUGCUACACACCCAGAAGCUGGCCGCUCAGUGCAGACGGAGUGCAGGCAGAGACUGACGCACUGUUUGGGAUAUAGAACUACUUAACCUGAAGGAGUUUCUAUUAGUGGCUAUAUUUAACUUUUUGUACCGUUUUUAAAUGUAUCAUUCAUGUGACCCUAACAUUUAAAAUU